rnacentral:lncRNA from 1 species
GGCCAAGAAACAAAAGGCAGUUUUCUGACCUUCUCUGAUUUUAUCAUUGCCAUGCUCUAACUCGCUGAGCUAACCAGCCACAGUUCUAUUGGAACUCACCAUGGAGACAGAUUAAUUUUAACUCAGAGAACAUGGGCUUUUCAACACAAGUUAAAUAUAGGCUGGCACAGAACAUUACAGAAGCGUUAGGUCCUCAGAAAUUUUUUUAGCUUCUAAACUUUGAGCAGCUACUAAUGUAUGCUUCUCAUACUUUCUCUUGGUCAUUUUCACCUUUUCUUCUUCCCAUGAUCACUGAAAUAGAGAAGGCAGAACUUCACCAGCAGGAAAUACAAAGGGCAUCGCUUUCAAUAAUGGUUUAA